CCAUUAGAGAGCAGCAGCUGGAACUUUUUAAGCUUUACAUAUUUUUCUUCCCAAGCCUCCACGUCCCCUCCUUCCUCCUCAUUCAGUUGAUUAAAAGCGAUCAGGGCUGCUCUGAUUUAUCAACUCAAUCCUUUACUCUAAGCAAUUGAGAAAGCUGGUGCUUCCAGCCAUCCAGCCCCAGCUUUAGAGAUCAAGCUCAGCUGUCUCUGUUUACCUCUUAGCCCAAGUGAACUCUUGCCAUAACAGCACAGGUACCUUGAACUUUUCCUCGUCCAGCAGUAACUGGAGAUUGAUUCCUUUGUUUGUUGCCUCUGGAGAGAGACUUACAUCUUGAUCUGAAAGUGGAAAGGAAGAUGCUCUUGGAUGUUUAUCUCAGGCGUUUAUUGAUGAGAAGGGUGCAGAAGGCUCUAGCUGUCACAGCAGUAUGAGCUAAGGAAAAACACUGACACCAAUGGUAUACAUUGACAGGCAGCUUUGAUGUGAGCAAGGACAAGGUGCAGUGAUGACAGGCAGGUCCAUCACAUCAGAGCCCGGGAACAGAAGUAUCUUCACUGAACUGGUGCCUGACAAUCUGAAAUCAAAGAGAACAAGGGAAAGGGGACAGCAGCAUAGGCAAAUUUACAAGCUCUUCAUAUUCACCAUAGUCCAGAGCCAGAGAAGACCAAGCUGGAUCCCCAAACUUCCUACACUGAUAACUUCUACCAAAGUUUGUGUGGAUGCCUGCGAGCCAUACCAUCUACUGAAGGGGACAGCUGGAAUCAUUGGCAGGAACACAAGAGCAUUUAUCAGGUUUUUCCCAGUGCUGAAGCUCUUGAUGGCAAAGACUGAGGCUUCGGAAAUGCCCUAG
rnacentral:lncRNA from 1 species